rnacentral:rRNA from 1 species
CAAUAGCGUAUAUUAAAGUUGUUGCAGUUAAAAAGCUCGUAGUUGGAGUUCAGAGUGAGCUCAGCCGGUCCGCCUCAUGGGUGAGUACUGGUCGACUCUCUCUUGUUUGUGAAUCCCGCCCGGAGUUAAUUCUUCGGGAUGUGGAGUUCACAUCGUUUACCUUGAAAAAUUAGAGUGUUCAAAGCAGGCGUUUGCUUGAAUAUAUUAGCAUGGAAUAAUGGAAUAGGACCCUGGUUCUAUUUUGUUGGUUUUGUAGAACCAGAGUAAUGAUUAAUAGGAGUAGUUGGGGCGAUUCAUAUUUCUAUGUCAGAGGUGGAAAUUACUUGGUAUUUAUUGAAAGAAUGAACUUACUUGCGAAAGACAUUUGUCCAACGGAAUGUUUUUCUAUUAAUUACAAGAAACGAAAGUUAAGGGGAGUCGAAGACGAUUAGA